CCGUAGCAAUACGGAGCGGCAGACGGGUGAGUAACACGUGGGAACGUACCCUUUGGUUCGGAACAACACAGGGAAACUUGUGCUAAUACCGGAUAAGCCCUUACGGGGAAAGAUUUAUCGCCGAAGGAUCGGCCCGCGUCUGAUUAGCUAGUUGGUGGGGUAACGGCCCACCAAGGCGACGAUCAGUAGCUGGUCUGAGAGGAUGAUCAGCCACACUGGGACUGAGACACGGCCCAG
rnacentral:rRNA from 1 species